AGUGAACGCUGGCGGCAGGCCUAACACAUGCAAGUCGAGCGGCAGCGCGUCCGACCACCCUCGGGUGGUCGGAUGGCGGCGAGCGGCGGACGGGUGAGGAAUGCAUCGGAAUCUGCCUCGUUGUGGGGGAUAACGUAGGGAAACUUACGCUAAUACCGCAUACGACCUACGGGUGAAAGUGGGGGACCUUCGGGCCUCACGCGAUGAGAUGAGCCGAUGCCGGAUUAGCUAGUUGGCGGGGUAAAGGCCCACCAAGGCGACGAUCCGUAGCUGGUCUGAGAGGAUGAUCAGCCACACUGGAACUGAGACACGGUCCAGACUCCUACGGGAGGCAGCAGUGGGGAAUAUUGGACAAUGGGGGGCAACCCUGAUCCAGCCAUGCCGCGUGAAGGAUGAAUGCCCUCUGGGUUGUAAACUUCUUUAGUCUGGGAAGAAAACAUAUAUUCAUAUAUGUCUGACGGUACCAGAAGAAUAAGCACCGGCUAACU
rnacentral:rRNA from 1 species